AACGAACGCUGGCGGCAGGCUUAACACAUGCAAGUCGAACGCAUCGCAAGAUGAGUGGCAGACGGGUGAGUAACGCGUGGGAACAUACCCUUUUCUACGGAAUAGCUCUGGGAAACUGGAAUUAAUACCGUAUACGCCCUACGGGGGAAAGAUUUAUCGGGGAAGGAUUGGCCCGCGUUGGAUUAGCUAGUUGGUGGGGUAAAGGCCUACCAAGGCGACGAUCCAUAGCUGGUCUGAGAGGAUGAUCAGCCACAUUGGGACUGAGACACGGCCCAAACUCCUACGGGGGGCAGCAGUGGGGAAUAUUGGACAAUGGGCGCAAGCCUGAUCCAGCCAUGCCGCGUGAGUGAUGAAGGCCUUAGGGUUGUAAAGCUCUUUCACCGAUGAAGAUAAUGACGGUAGUCGGAGAAGAAGCCCCGGCUAACUUCGUGCCAGCCGCCGCGGUAAAAC
rnacentral:rRNA from 1 species